rnacentral:lncRNA from 1 species
CAUAUCCCCAGUGCCAGCUACCCUGUCCAGUCCUGCCUGUGGCAUAGAAUCAUGGCUUUGUGUAACCUGGCAUGGGAACAAGAAGGUCCUGCCGCACUGUCUCCUGGAAGCCCUGGAUUCGAUGGAAUAACUCCCUGGACUAAAGAACUCAGGGGUGACCCUGUGGGCAUACAGUGGUCAGGAUCCCACAUCAGGAACCUGGUUCUUAUCUCCCAUUAUUCUGAGGGUAAUGUUGAUAUGUGGAGUAUUUGGGUUCACUCCAGACACAGAACUCUGGUCACUCCCACAGGACACAGCUGGAGAGUAGUUGGCUUAUCUCCUUAGCAGGGAAGAGAGGAAUUUGCUGGCUAGCCUGACUGCACAUCUGUCUGGCUUGAUGCCUUGCUAGACUCUAUGAUGUUUACUCAGUCACUUGACAUGAAAUUGUCAGCCAUGUUUGCACGAAACACAGAUUCCCUAGACAUGACAGGAUCCCUAUGUGCCUUGCCUGGGUAGUGUCCUGGUCCUGACCCUGCCCUAUCGGAAAGUCUCAAGGGACAUGGAAAGUUUUUUGCCUGAAACAGAAAGAUAGAAGAUAAAUAGAGGAUAUAUGAGGGAUAUAACGAGGAGGAGGAGGAGGAGGAGGAGGAGGAGGAAGAAGAAGAAGAAGAGGAGGAGGAGGAGGAGGAGGAGGAAGAGGAGGAAGAGGAGGAAGAGGAGGAAGAGGAGG